AUAAGGGAUGUUUAAACUGCAUUUCACAAUAUGAAUUUUAUUAGAAAGUAAAGUCAAUAGGAACAUCUGGCUCUUUGGGUAUCCAAAACCGGGUAAGUAAGAAAUUGACUUCUCCUGACCUGACCAUUUGGCCAUACUAAGCUUAUAAUUUUUCUUACCGGAUGAUCAUUUUCCUACUAAGCUUAUAAUUAAAUCGUGCAGUUAGCAUCUGGAAAUUUCAAAUAUUUCUGAUAAAAUCGAGCAAUAAGGGUUCAUAAAUAAUCUACAUCAAGAUGCUUGCAUCAAUGAAUUUUAUGAAUGAGGGACUUGUUAUGUA